rnacentral:rRNA from 1 species
GACGAACCGUGCGAACGUUAUUCGGAAUCACUGGGCUUAAAGCGUGUGUAGGCGGGUCGGAACGUCGGUCGCUGAAAUCCCCCGGCUUAACCGGGGAACGGGCGCCGAAACGGCCGGCCUGGAGGGACGUAGGGGGAACUGGAACUUCCGGUGGAGCGGUGAAAUGCGUUGAGAUCGGAAGGAACGCCCGUGGCGAAAGCGGGUUCCUGGACGUCUGCUGACGCUGAGACGCGAAAGCCAGGGGAGCGAACGGG